rnacentral:rRNA from 1 species
UGGGGAAUAUUGCACAAUGGGGGAAACCCUGAUGCAGCGACGCCGCGUGAACGAAGAAGGUAUUCGUAUCGUAAAGUUCUGUCCUAUGGGAAGAUAAUGACAGUACCAUAGAAGAAAGCUCCGGCUAAAUACGUGCCAGCAGCCGCGGUAAUACGUAUGGAGCGAGCGUUGUCCGGAAUUAUUGGGCGUAAAGGGUACGCAGGCGGUUUAAUAAGUCGAAUGUUAAAGAUCGGGGCUCAACCCCGCAAAGCAUUGGAAACUGAUAAACUUGAGUAGUGGAGAGGAAAGUGGAAUUCCUAGUGUAGUGGUGAAAUACGUAGAUAUUAGGAGGAAUAUCAGUAGCGAAGGCGACUUUCUGGACACAAACUGACGCUGAGGUACGAAAGCGUGGGGAGCAAACAGG